CUAAGUGUAAGAGUUAAAGUUGGGGGACACUGAGGCAGUAUAAAUUAGUUUCUCUCUGCAAGGAGUAUUAUAUUUUUAGAGGUUUAUUAAAGGAUUAAAGAAAAUACAGAAUAAGAGAACACGUGUCUAGGCCUCUGGCCUAGACAACCUCACCUACAUUAUGAAAAGAGUCUGCGUGUAAGCUGAAACAGGAAAGAAAAGAGAGGCCCAGAAGCCUUUCCAAUCAGGUUAAAUACCCCAUCUUGAUCUCGGCCCAGGUGAGAAUUCCGUGAUAUUACAAAGCAUUCUGGGGAAGUGGAGCAAGGACUUCUGGGGAUUGAAGUCCUGGACUCAAGUCUCCAUUUUUACAUAAGUUAGUGACAGGAGUAUGAAUCCUGUCAGACUGUCAGACUGCCUUGGGUGGAACCUUGUGCUAAGGUCUUGCUUAGGAAUUCUGAGACACCCAAGGAAUUGGAAGUUCUGUUAAGCCCAACUGUCUCUCUCUGCUGGUGUUCCCUGCCCAGAGAGAAGGCUAAAGCUUUGGCUCCUGGGAAUUCCUUGAACUGGCCUGACAGUUUUGGAAAGAAGAGAAAGUUGGAAGUUUUGGGAAGAGCUGUGAAAGGAACAAAUAGAGCAACCUGGUUCUAUGGCAUCUGCAGAGUGCUACACCAACAGACAAAACAAGACACUGAUACACUGUGGUACAUUGGAACAUAAUGGACUUCUCUACUAGCAGCAAUGCAAGGAUCCAGGACAAUUCUGAGGGACUUAUGAGAAAGAACACUAUUCACAUCCAGAGAAAGAACUGAGACUGGUGACUGCUUACACAGACCAAGAAGUUACAGCUAAAGGAAAAUGUGCAAGGUUUUUUCAUCAGACUGGGUGAUGGGACAAGAAGGGCUUGUAAGAAGGCAUCAAUCUUGUUUUUAAUUCCAGCCAUGAUUCUUCAUUGCUUGGAGUUUUUGGAUUGUAAUAAUGACUUUUGUUGGGCAGCUGGUGGCUCAGUGGAUAGAGUGCCAGCUCUGGAAUCAGGAAGACUCGCCAUCUUGAAUUCAAAUCUGGCCUCAGACAUUUAGUAGCUGUAUGACUCUAGGCAAGUCACUCAACCUUAUUUGUCUCAAUAUCUUCAUCUGUAAAAUGAGUUAGAGAAGGAAAUGGCAAACUGCUUCAGUAUCAUUGCAAAGAAAACUCUAAAUGGGGUCCCAAAGAGUUGGACACAACUGAACAAUAGUAACAAAUAAUGACUUUUGUAAUAUAAAUUUUCUUUUUUAUUAUGAACAUAAUAGUGACAAAGCAUGAAUGUUUCAAUAUACAAUGAAGAUCAGAAAAAAGGAUGGCAUAAGCAACUGUGAAUUUGUCAUAUGCAGUUUUUUUUAAAGUAUAUGUGAAAUUUUACUGGUUAAUUAACAAAACUGUCCUGCCUUGGGUGUCCCCUCCUUUUCCUCUCUUGUCCCUUUUCACUACUUCAUUGACUCUCUUUUUUUCUUUUCCUUUAUUUUUUAAAAAAUUAAUAUUACUAUCCAAUUCAAAUCAAACAUUUAUUAAGGUCUUACUGUAUGCCAGGAGUUGCUAUCCAAUGCAAUGGAGAGAGUGCCUGGCUUGGAAUCAAGAUGACUCAUCUUCCUGAAUUAAAAUCUGGCCUCAAACGCUUACUAGCCAUAUGAUUCUGGUUAAGUCACUUCACCCUGUUGCCUCAGUUUCCUCAUCUGUAAAAUGAGCUAGAGAAGGAAAAAAAGCCGUAUAUUUGCCCAAAAAACCCCACAAGGCUUCAUGGAGAAUUGUAUGCAACUGAAAAAAAAAAAGACUGAACAUGGACAAUACACUAGCACUCAACUAAGUCCUGGGGAUACAAGGAAAAACAAAAAGACAGUUUCUGUCCUCAAAGGAACUUACCUUCAUUGGAGAUGGCAAAUCAAUAACUAAAAAGAUAUGAUAUAUAGGGAAGUUAGAGGCGAUAGGGCUAGAGAAGAAUCUUGAAGAGAGCCAGCAAACUAAAAAAGGCAAAGAAGUACUAUAGGUGGGGGGCUGGGGAAAAGGGAGCUCGUUCAAAGGCACAAAGAUGGGAGAUUUAAUAUCCUAUUUAAGUGGGCCAGUAGAGUACAAAGUGAAGUGUUGUAAGACUGGAAAGGUAAGGAAGCAUUCAGAUUAUUCGGGACUUCAAAUGUCAAACAUAGGCAUUUAUAUUUGAUUCUUGAAAUAAAGGAGCCACUGGAGCUCAUCGAAGAAGGGAGAGAUCUUUGCUUUAUACAAGUCAUGGAAGCUGAGUGGAAGAUGAUUUGGAGGGAGUAGAGGCUUGAGGCGCAGUUAGAAGGCUCUUGCAAUAGUCCGAGGAGGGGUGAUGAGACCCUGAUGUAUGGCUGUGGCUGGGUACGUGCAGAGAAGGGGACGAUCUGGAGGGACAUUGUUAAAGUCAGAUCUAUGGGGUGAAGGAGAGUAAGUAGGUGAGAAGACAGAAGUUGUAGAUCUAAGUCAGCCAGGAGGGUGGCUGUGCCCUCGGCAGUAAUUAAGCAAGUUGGGAAGAGAGGAUAAUUUGGGGGAAAUGAUGAGCUGUUACACUUGAGUUUAAGAUAACUUAUGGGAUGGCCAAUUGUAGAUGUCCAAAAAGCAGUGUGUGAUGUGAUGUGAGACUGGAGCUCAGAGAGAGACAAAGAUCGAAUGGAGACCUCGGAGAGACUAAAUGAUCCUAUGGGAAUUGACGAAAUGACCAAAUCAUCUAAAGUAGGGGUGGGACUUUUUAACCUGAGAGCCAUGAAAGCGUGUCAAGAGAUCCAUGACCUUGAAUGGGAAAGAAUGUCAUCACUAUGUUCAAGGUUUCAUUUGUGAUUCAAUGUAUUUUAUUUUAUAUGUUUAAAAAUGUUAUUAAUAGAAGAGGACAUGGUGGCGGCACAAUGCCAAAGGAAUUCACGGCACACAAAAAAAACUUAAGAACCCUUGCUACAGAGGAAGAGAGGAGAGGGUCCAGAACAGAGCCUUUGGAGGCACCCAUUCUACAGAUGAUCCAACCAGCAAAGGAGACUGAGAGAGAACAACUGGACACAUAAGAGAGGUUGACAAUCAAGAGAGAGAGUUGCCACAAAAACCUACUGCAGAGUUGUUCAUGAGAACAAACCUCAAAAAUAUGAAAUUGUUGUUUAUUACUAUUAUUAUUACUCAGAAAUGUCUUAGGUCGUUUGGCAGAGGAGAACUAGACAGAAAGGAGGUGUGGCUUCCUAGAUAGGAUUUUGGAAAAAAGAAAAAACAACUCCAUUCCCAGAAACAAGUCUAGAUUAGUCAAUAUUUGCCCCCUAGUGGCUGAUUUGGAAAUUGGCUCUCCCUUUGGCUAUAGAUAGGUUCUGGAAGUACAGACUCUGGAAGUAGUGUGGAGAGGGCAGAAAUUGAUGGAAUUUUUAGGGCAAGAGGUAUUGGAGAAAGCCUACCUUCCUAAUGGCAAAAAUUCCCUUGGAUCAGGAACUGCUUUUUUCAGGAGGGACCCAUAAACAACAUGCUAUGACACAUUGACAUAAUUUACAUCAAUCCAAUUUUUUCUUCUCCCGAAUCCUUUGUAAUGGCACGAGAAUUCAAGGGACUCCUGGUCAACAUUGACAAGAUUCAAAGGGUGGCCAGCUAGGGAAAGGGUAAAUCUGUGGCUCGAUGUGAUCUGAGGUGCUCUAAAAGAUGCUUAUAUCCCAAAUCUCCCUAUCCCUUCAUCACACUCUUCCUUGGUGUCUGAAAAUCUCAGUAUCGGAGACAAUCCUUUAAACUGAAUGGUUGAGUUUCCAGAAGGCUCCCAUUGCAAAGGUAUUGCUUGGAAAGAGUAUUACAUUAUGCCAUUAUUACUUGUUUAUGUAUUAGCAUGAAUCAGCUUCCUUGAUUAGAUACUCAAUUACCUGAGGAAACAGAGCAGAGAGUUGAGGAAAUGGGAAAUCAGUAAAUAUUGAUGAUGAAUGUAAAAUGAAGUCUCCGAAGACAGGUCAUGGAAGGACCCUUAAGAGGGAUGGUGGUCAGCAUGAUACUACUCUAUACCUUUGAGAUAGGCAAAAAAAAAAAUGGAAAUGAAGUUUGGGUGAGCAGGUUUCAGAAGAGACAGGAGAUUUAAUUUUUUGCCUACUUAAUUUUGCUAAGGACUCUAUCUUUCAGCAUGAUACUUUUUAAAAAUUCAUUUUUAUUAUCAUGCAAAAGACACUUCCAUAUUGGUCAUUGUUGUAAGAGCAAAGUCAUACAUAAUCAAAACCCCAAUAUAAGACCAAAGAUACACUGAUGUGAAAGACGACUCCAAUAGUUCAUUCCCUGGAGGUGGAGAACAUUCCCCAUCCUAAGUCUUUGAGGAUUGUCCCAGAUCAUUACAUUGUUGAGAGUAGCCAAGUUUUCACAGAUAAUCAUUGUCCAAUAUUGCUGUUAUUGUGUCUCUUAUUUUGCUCUGCUAUGGUCCCUGCAGAUCUUUCCAGCUUUCCCCUCUCAAUUUCCAAUUCUUCAGCAUGAUACUUUUGAAGAACUUCAACUUCUAACAAAAAAAAAUUGAAGACUAUAAAUGAUCACAUGAAAUUAUCACAUGCUCUAAGCCACCAAUAAAUAGUAGAUAAAUACAAAUAAAAAUGUUGUUUCAUAAUACUCUAUGCCAAUAAAUAUGAAAAAAAGGGAAGUCAAUGCUAGAAGUGCCUUUAGAAGAUAGGUACAUUGGUAUAUUGUUAGAACUGUGCAGUAGUCCAGAAAUUCUAGAUUUCAAUAGGAAAUUAUGCAAGAAAAGCGACUCUAUGCCAAUACACUGUUCUUUAGACCAGCAGCCCAGCUACUUGGUACAGAUUGCAAGGACGUUGGAACAAAGGCUCAAUGUAAAAUAUUCAUAGCAAAAAAUUUUGUGGUAACAAACAUCCUCAAGCAAAACAGACAUCCAUCAUGUAGGAAAUGACUAAAAUAAUUAUAGCAUAUGAAUUUAAUGGAACAUUAUUGUAAAAAAGAAAUAAGUAUGAGCAAUUCAAAGAAAUAUCAUAAAGCUUAUAUAAAUUGAAAUAGAUACAAAUAAGCAAUAAUCAAAAAGCACUUCAGUGCCUUCUAUUUGAACUAGACUCAGGAUUACAAAGAAAAAAAUGAAAUAAUCUCUACCCUCAAGGAGCUUACAAAUAUAAAUGGAGAUAAUGUAUGCAUACAUAAGUAUAUAUACAACAUAUACAAAAUAAAUACAAGAUUAUUUGGAAAUAAGGCACUAGCCUUAGCAGUUGCAGGGAAUCAAGAAAGGUUUGUAGAAGGGAGUUAUUGCUCUAAAAAAAAUCCCAAAGAAUUCUAAGAGGCAGAGGUUGAAAGCAGAGUAAAUUGAAGAGAGGGGGGAAAAUCAGUGCAAAGGCAAGGAAAUGGGAGAUGGAAUAUCAUGUGUGAGGAAGAAGAGAAGAACAAUAUGACUGGAUCAUAGAGUGCAUGGAAAGGAAUAAUACACAAUAUUGACAAAGUUUCCAAAUCCCAUGUGGGGAGAGGUUUCAGAGGCCAUCUAUCUAACCCAAACCUAAAAGAAGAUCUCCUCUGGACAUCCCUGAGGAUGGCCAUCCAGCUGGUGGAACCUUUGAGUUUCAGAUAAUGGUGGUAGAGGAGUCUAAGGUGACCCAUUCUAAUUUGAGCCAAUUCUAAUUGUUAGGAAAUGAUUUCCCUUUCAGAAUCUUCUCUUUGCUUCUAAUUUUACCCUCCAGGGGCAAGUAAAACAAGUUGAAUCCCUGUUGAACAUGACAGACCUUUUACCCUUUCCUCAAAUGUAUAUUCUAUUGGUAUACUUUAUCUCUAAUUUAUUCUUUUUGUUCUCAUUGUUUUUUCUUAUUUUAAGACCAUUAAUCUAAAUAACAAAACUGUUCCCAACUCCUUUAUCUUAUUUGAUUCCCUCUAUGAUCUUGGAUGACUUUAGGAUCCUGAUGAGACUUUGUAUCACCCCCACAUACGCUAUAAAAAGUGUAAAUAGCUCCUCCUUAUAGAAGUCUUUCCAAAUGUUCACCUGCAACUACAUUUUUAUGGUUUUCUUGAUUCCUGUGUUUGUACUGCAGUUUCUACUCAGCUUUGGAUUUGUUUGUUUGUUUUUAAAUCAGGAAUGCUUAGAAGUCCCCCACUUCACUGAAGAUCUACUUUUUUUUUAUUCAAAAACAUUUUAUUUUCCCAAUUGCAUGUGAUAAUAAUUUUCAACAUAUGUUUUCUGAAGUUAGAAGAUCCAAAUUGUCUCCCUCUUUCCCUUCCCUUCUCCUUCUCAGAGAUGGUAAGCAAUUUGAUCUGGGUUACACAUGUAUUAUUAUAUAAAACUUACCUCUAUAUUGGUCACUGUUGUAAUAGAAUAUUCAUAUAAAAACAAAACCCCCAAAUAAAUAAACUAAUAACAUUAAACUGAAAUAAUAAUAAACUAAAUAAAUGAAUAUGAAAGAGGGUGUUUUUUGAUCUGCAGAAGAUUCACUUUUUAAUCUCAGUUUUGCUGGGUAAGGUAUUUUUGGUUGUAGUCCUACAUACUUUAUAUCACAUUCAGUGGAGUAUGCUCCUUUAUAUUGGUAGCUCCUAAAAUUUUAUGUGAUUCAUUUCAAGGACUCCCCAUGGAUUGAUGGAGUCAGAUGGAGACAUACUACUCCAUAAUUCACUUUAUUCACUUUUCUUUUUUUUUUAAGUUUUCUUUCACAAAAGGACUAAUAUGGAAAGAUGUUUUACACUAUUACACAUGUAAAAUCUAUAUCAGAUUGUGUGCCAUCUCAGAGGGGGAGAAAGGAGGGAAAGAGGAUGAAAAUUUUGCUCAAACUUGUAAAAAAUGAAGGUUAAAAAUUGUUUUUCAUUAAUCAAGGGGGGAAAAACAGUUUUAAAAGAUCAUGUAUGAUCUGACUGUGGUUGCCAAUAUUUUUUCUUUGACCUGGAAACUCUAAAUUUUAACUGUAUUGUUUCUGGGAUUUUUCAUUUGGGAAUUUCUUUCGGGAAGUGAACAGGGAAUUCUAUUUUCACUUUCCCCUCUUUAUUCUAAUGUCUGAACAGUUUUCUUUCAUGAUUUCCUGAAAUACAAUAGCUGAGCUCUUUUUUUAGACAUAGUUUUCAUAUAGUCCAGUGAAUUCUAUAUUAUCUCUCCUUUAUCUGUUUUCCAGAUUCAUUUUUUUGUUUUGUUUUGUUUGUAUGAGACACCUUAAAAUUUUCCUCUAUAAACCCAUUCACAUGAUCUGGACUGAGUUCCGUCCUGGGGAAAUCUGCCUCUAACAAGAGAAGUUAAGCUCCUUUUCUUUGACUUAUUAUACUCCUUGACCUUAUCACUCCAGGGCAGAACUAUUUAUAACGGUUUUGGCUGGAGUCUAUGGUGGCCCCAAAUGGGAAGUAGAAUGGUAACCAUUGUACAAAGUAGCUCAGGUAUGAGGCAGGUAUUUAUUUGCAAUAUGCAAAAGACUCUCACUAGCUCACUUUAAUAGAAAGAUUAAGGACAGAAUUUAGUAACAAUUACUGUGAUACUCAGAAUUCUUUGGAAGAAACUUAACCAAAGAAGAGACAGUAUUAACUACUAUUAAACUCUUUCAGGAGGUGGAAACAAAGAUCAAAAGAUGAAACAGUGUGUGGAAUUGUUAAUUAAGCACUGUUACAUCUGAUCUCACCUCUGUGCUAUCCAUAUAACUCUAACAAGCCAAGCCAGGUGAUGGGUUUCUUCUCUUUUGGGUGUUCAUCUUUGAUUCAGAAACUUCUUUGCCAUGAAUCAGCUCCAUCCAAGGGACCCAGGACCUCAAGACCUCUCAAAUUCACAAGGGUAGCCACCUGCCCAUCACCAAAUUCCUCCCUGAGACUUAGUAAAGAUAAAUGAAAUAGAAAAGGCACCGAGGGUUCUGAAAGUAUUUAGGCAAGACUUAUGCUUUAGCUACCAUCUUUCAACAGUUUUUUAGCAUAUUGCAAUAUAUCUCCUCUGGUCACCAGAGAGUCAUAAUACUCUUGGAAUAUUCAAAGCCUGAACUACUGUCCACUCCUCACCCUUUUGAACUGUCACUUUCUCGUGUAUUUUCUCCAUUUUUCAAGGUCCUAAAUAUUGAUAAAAUAUUUCAAUAUAGAAAUUACUAUAAUUAUAUUAUGAC